GUGACUCGAUCUGUCAUGUGAUCGGUCGAUUUCAAAAUGGCGAUCAUCUCUGCAGUUGCUGGAUUGUUGUGCUUGUUUACUGUAUUUACACUGGGCGAGUGUCGAUACGAGCCGAACUGGCAGUCCAUAGACUCGAGGCCCCUGCCAAGCUGGUAUGAUGAGAGUAAGAUCGGUAUCUUUAUUCACUGGGGAGUGUUUUCCGUGCCCAGUUACGUGGACGAGUGGUUCUGGUAUUACUGGAAGGGCCCCACACCAGUCAAGAGCGUCGUCAAGUUUAUGGAAGACAACUACCGGCCAGGUUUUACGUAUGCAGACUUUGCACCACAUUUCACAGCCGAGUUCUUCAGCCCCUAUCGAUGGGCAGACAUUUUCCAAGCGUCAGGAGCACGCUACGUGGUGUUUGUGAGCAAGCACCAUGAAGGCUUCACCAACUGGCCUUCCAAGGCAUCCUUCAACUGGAACUCGAUGGAUGUGGGUCCCCGAAGGGAUAUUGUAGGGGAGUUAACUAAUGCAAUCCGCAACAGCACUGACUUGAGGAUGGGCGUCUAUCACUCGCUGUUUGAGUGGUUCAAUCCUCUCUUCAAUGCUGAUAAAGCCAACAAGUUCAAGACACAGGACUUUGUCACGCACAAGACAGGACCCGAAUUGUACGAGCUGGUCAACAAAUACAAACCUGACAUUAUCUGGUCUGAUGGAUGUCCGGCAAACAGCUCUUACUGGAACUCCACACAGUUCUUGGCCUGGCUCUACAAUGACAGCCCAGUGAAGGACACCGUGGUGACCAAUGACCGAUGGGGGUCGGACACGGGCUGCAAACAUGGCGGCUUCUUCACCUGCUCUGACCGCUACAACCCAGGAUUCCUCCAGAAACACAAGUGGGAGAACUGCCUGACGCUGGACAAAAAGUCGUGGGGCUACCGUCGCGAGGCCGUGCUGGCCGACUACAUGACCAUGAAGGAGCUCACUAAGACACUGGCAGAGACAAUCAGCUGUGGGGGCAACAUGCUCAUCAAUGUGGGCCCCACACACGACGGACGGAUUGUCCCGGUCUUCGAGGAACGUCUGAGGCAGCUGGGGGCGUGGCUGAAAGUGAAUGGGGAAGCUGUGUACUCCUCCAAGCCAUGGUCCCACCAGAACGAUACAGUCACACCCAACGUGUGGUACACGAUGAAGAAGUCGACAUCCGCCCCCUUUCAGACGUCCAUCUAUGCCUUCGUGCUUGACUGGCCUAAGGGAAGCAUCCUUGGUCUUGAUGCUCCGAGGGUCACCAAGCAGACCAAUGUCACGUUGCUAGGCUACCCAAAACCUUUGACCUACAUGCCUAACCCCACAGGGUCAGGGGUCAUGAUUGACAUUCCUGAGAUUGGAUUUAAUGAGAUGCCGUGUGACUAUGCCUGGAUCUUCAAAAUGACGAACCUGGCUAACUGAUGGACCUUGCUAACUAGUUAAUUGUUUGACAACAUAUCUAUCUGUAACCAGCAGAGGGCACCUCUUUAUCAAUGAGGAGUCAAUUCUUUAUUAAUAAGGGGUUUAUUCUUCAUCAGUAAGGGGCACAUGUAACCUGGUUGUUUUGAGGUAGUUCGCUGUCUGGACUUCUAUGAACUUCGGUUCAAAUCCCAGAUUUGCUCUGAUUAACAUUCUAGGUUUGUCUACACAUGAGUUUCACCAAAGUGGAAAUCUUUAAGCACCAGCAUCACAUUAUAUCUCACUUUAAACUGACACACAGGGAUAGAAUUAGAAUACUAUUCAAACCGGCAUUUAUCCAAACUCUAUCCUAUUGUUGAGAUGAGAUGCAUGAGAUCUUAUUGCUCUCUGCUACUGUGCAUAGAUCUGAGGACAUCCUAUUACAGGUCACGUCAGAAUGACCUUUCAUCCGACCAAUCAGAGUGUUGCUACGGUAUUGUAAACGUGAAAGUCUGAAUACAUUUCAUAAUCAUGCAAACGGUUAACAGGGGUUUUCCCAAUAACAGUUAAUGGUUGUCCAGCUGAUUCUGUCAAAGUCAUCGUCUAUCUCUUCCUUCAAAGGGAUAAACAUUUGAAACAGAAACUAUUGUAAUGCAAUCUCACCUUUCCAUCAUACAUUCCCAAAUUUUGUUUGUUCAUUUUGCAAAUUUUAAAUCAAGAAUGGUAUCAAACUACUUUUCAUUCCUUGACUGAAAUGAAAGUCUCCACUUUGAAACUGGUACCGUUAUCCUUGAGAAAGCGGCUUUCUGAUUGGCUUAUUGUGAGUUCCUGGUAAUCUUGUCAUUGGUCGCUCAAAGUUUGUGAAGGGUUGUUCUGAUGUGAGUUGUCAUGGGAGAUGGUCAGAUCUUUUUAUGAGAUUGUGAUUUUACUGUUAGCUCCUGUGCGUGAUGGUAAACAAUUUGACCAUAAAUGAUUCUUUGUUUCUGGGUCUAAUGGGUGUUCCACUCAGGUAUUUCAUCAUCAUGCUUUUCUAGGAAGCUUGUUGGUCAUAAUAUACUUUUAUUUUAUUUUCAUCAAAUCAAACUAUAUUUGUCACACAUGCCAACUUAGAACUGCUAGUUUUGAAACGUUCUAUGCCAUGAUCCAGAUUUAUACAUAAGAAUGAAUAUUUCUGACAGGUGAAAUACUUGAAGGUCCUGAUAUCAUUGCAGUAAACUACGUUUAAAACGAACAUGAUAAUAAGGGACUGACGGAUAUAACGAACUGUCCUUUGUGGUCACAGCAACUUGCUGUAUAUAUAGUGUAUACACCAUUAAUACUAACAACUAUAACGAACUAGAAUUAGAGCUCCCUUUGAGUUCGAUAUAUCCGUAGUUUUCUGUAUUCCAAAUUUAUUAUUUUGCUUGUGGCUCUACACAGGCACUCAGUGUUAUUUAUACGCGAACUGAUUAGCAUGUUUCACCCACAUCUCCUUUUUAUGAGUUUUCAGAAUAGGGGCGCCUUUAGCUUACGUUCACUGGUGUAUAUCCAGAGACUGUGUAUCUGUGUCUGUGUAUAUGAACAUUGGUUUUUAACAUUUACAAUGCCUGUUUCAACUAAUUUUUACAAUUCCAUCAAAAAGUCUGCGCAAACUUCCUACAUGGUCGACGCGAAAAACUGACUGAUCUGUUUUUUAACCUGGUUAGAAAUGUCUGACAUACAGAAGGUUAGUCCAAAAUAUAUGUUGCCAGCAUUUGAUUAUACUCAUGUAAUAUAUUGACUGCUGAUGUUGGUUAUACUGGGAUGCUAUAUCUCGGGCGUCAUGAACGCCACACAUUCCGCUGCUGAGUACAGUUUUCUUACACAUAUUUUCAGAUCUUAUUUUGUGAUAAAAUGUUUUCAACUCAA
rnacentral:misc_RNA from 1 species